rnacentral:tRNA from 1 species
AAGAAUAAUAGUUAAAAUUAUAAUAUUUAUUUUGCAUAUAAAAGUUAUUUAAUUAAAUUUAUUUU